GACCUCGUAGCUCAUCAGGAUAGAGCGACCGCCUCCUAAGCGGUAGGUAGCUAGUUCGAGUCUAGUCGGGGUCA
rnacentral:tRNA from 1 species